UACAGAGGUCUCAAGCGUUGUUCGGAUUCAUUGGGCGUAAAGGGUGCGUAGGCGGCGCGGUAAGUCGGGUGUGAAAUCUCGGGGCUUAACUCCGGAACUGCAUUCGAUACUGCCGUGCUUGAGGACUGGAGAGGAGACUGGAAUUUACGGUGUAGCGGUGAAAUGCGUAGAUAUCGUAAGGAAGACCAGUGGCGAAGGCGGGUCUCUGGACAGUUCCUGACGCUGAGGCACGAAGGUCAGGGGAGCAAACGGG
rnacentral:rRNA from 1 species